ensembl:lncRNA
AUUGAAUCUCUGGAAGACGGGCUCUUUCAGGCAAAGGACGGCGACCAACAGUUCCAGCAGACCCAGGCCUGGGGAAAUCAUUAACCAAAAACAAAGCACAACAGGACACUGGUGGGUCUGCGGUAUUGCGCCGGUCAUGUGGGGAUUGGGGGUGACCGCCGGUCGCUGCAGGAGUGAGUUAGCUGGAGAAGGCACAAUAUUUACCUCAUCUGUUCAAAUGAUGGCGUGUUGAGAGGAAGGCAUGGCAGCAUGACGUUUACUAAAGCAGGAUGGAACGAGACCCUGAGGCCUCACAGACUCUCCCAGCCGUGACUGUUUGUCUGAGAGAGCGCUAACUCCCAUGAACGAUAUACACUUGACAGAAAGCCACUGCCUUUUUGCUGUGUGUGUGUGUGUGUGUGUGUGUGUGUGUCUAUCUGACUCUAUAAGCAGCAUUCCUCUUGUGAAACCAGAGUCAUAGAGAGUGCUGAGGAAGAAUGGAACCUAUUCAGCUGCACCACUUAAUCAGACUCCCUGAGCGUCCCUCGCCUCCUGCGGCGUCUCCCUCGUCGUGUGUCUCAGGUGCACAGCCCCUCCUGUUAUUCGCCAUUCUUUACCAUUUUUGUUUCUCUUCCAAUCUGUCAAUCUCUUUCUCCUCUUACUCCCUCUCUCUUUUUCUCUUUCCCUCUCAGCUGUAAAAUUGGACUUGGAAAGAUGAGGUUUUUUGGGGAACUCAUUUUCUUUGUCCUUGAGUAUUUAAACGAUAAAGAAGCUUGAUUUUAGUAGAUUUGUCUUUAUGCGUCUCUAGCACUUUUGCUGCAAAAAGGAUUUUCUUAGGCAGUAUUGUUUUGUCUUAAUGUCUAAUAAAAUAUCUAAGCAACCUUAAAACACCAAUUUACUAGAGAAGCAAUAUUGCGUGAGAUAUUGAGUGUUAUUUUCAAAGAAUACACUACUGAUUUAAAGUCUGGGGCUGCUUUUUUAUAAUAAAUACAAUAAAGUGUGAAAUUUAGUUACAAUUUGAGAUACCUGUUUUCUGUUUUAAUAUAUUUUAGAAUGUAAUUUGCCAAAGCUGAAUUUUCAGAAACUAUUCCUCCAGUCUUCAGUGUCACAUGAUCCUUCCGAAGUCAUUCUAAUAUGCCUGAUGUGG